GAUGAAGAACGCAGCGAAAUGCGAUACUUGGUGUGAAUUGCAGAAUCCCGUGAACCAACGAGUCUUUGAACGCAAGUUGCGCCUCAAGCCAUUAGGUUGAGGGCACGUCUGCCUGGGCGUCACAUAUCGUUGCCUGAUGCCAGUUUCCUCGUGAUGGGUGACUGUGCAGGGCGAAUGAUGGCUUCCCGUGAGCAUUGUUGCCUCAUGGUUGGUUGAAAAUUGAGUCCUUGGUAGGGAGCGCCGUGAUAGAUGGUGGUUGAGUGACGAACGAGACCCAAUCAUGUGAGACCCCUACCGAAUUUGGCCUUCAUGACCCACAUGCGUCUUUGGAACGCUCAUGACGAGACCUCAGGUCAGGCGGGGCUACCCGCUGAGUUUAAGCAUAUCAAUAAGCGGAGGA
rnacentral:misc_RNA from 1 species